rnacentral:rRNA from 1 species
ACGGGUGAGUAAUGCCUAGGAAAUUGCCCUGAUGUGGGGGAUAACCAUUGGAAACGAUGGCUAAUACCGCAUAAUACCUUCGGGUCAAAGAGGGGGACCUUCGGGCCUCUCGCGUCAGGAUAUGCCUAGGUGGGAUUAGCUAGUUGGUGAGGUAAUGGCUCACCAAGGCGACGAUCCCUAGCUGGUCUGAGAGGAUGAUCAGCCACACUGGAACUGAGACACGGUCCAGACUCCUACGGGAGGCAGCAGUGGGGAAUAUUGCACAAUGGGCGCAAGCCUGAUGCAGCCAUGCCGCGUGUGUGAAGAAGGCCUUCGGGUUGUAAAGCACUUUCAGUCGUGAGGAAGGUGGUGUAGUUAAUAGCUGCAUUAUUUGACGUUAGCGACAGAAGAAGCACCGGCUAACUCCGUGCCAGCAGCCGCGGUAAUACGGAGGGUGCGAGCGUUAAUCGGAAUUACUGGGCGUAAAGCGCAUGCAGGUGGUUUGUUAAGUCAGAUGUGAAAGCCCGGGGCUCAACCUCGGAAUAGCAUUUGAAACUGGCAGACUAGAGUACUGUAGAGGGGGGUAGAAUUUCAGGUGUAGCGGUGAAAUGCGUAGAGAUCUGAAGGAAUACCGGUGGCGAAGGCGGCCCCCUGGACAGAUACUGACACUCAGAUGCGAAAGCGUGGGGGAGCAAAC